UUUAUAUUGCCUUAUUUUUAAUGUUUCACUCUUUCUUUUUUUCUGACAGUUUCCAUCAAGCUAGGAAUUCCGUGGGCUUAAUACCAAGGUGGAGGAUUCCACACGAAAGCACCUGCAACAAACGACCUGCACUAAACGUAUGCGCUUCUAGCAAUCACUGCUGAUUCAGCAAGGGAGCUGUCCAGGGAAGAUGGAAAGAGAUGUUGCACUAGCAGCAGCCAAGCAUCUAGGGAGCCAUCUGGGAACUGUUCCUACUGGAUGAGUCUUGA
rnacentral:lncRNA from 1 species